rnacentral:rRNA from 1 species
GAAUGCUGACAUAAGUAACGAUAAAGCGGGUGAAAAGCCCGCUCGCCGGAAGACCAAGGGUUCCUGUCCAACGUUAAUCGGGGCAGGGUGAGUCGACCCCUAAGGCGAGGCCGAAAGGCGUAGUCGAUGGGAAACAGGUUAAUAUUCCUGUACUUGGUGUUACUGCGAAGGGGGGACGGAGAAGGCUAUGUUGGCCGGGCGACGGUUGUCCCGGUUUAAGCGUGUAGGCUGGUUUUCCAGGCAAAUCCGGAAAAUCAAGGCUGAGGCGUGAUGACGAGGCACUACGGUGCUGAAGCAACAAAUGCCCUGCUUCCAGGAAAAGCCUCUAAGCAUCAGGUAACAUCAAAUCGUACCCCAAACCGACACAGGUGGUCAGGUAGAGAAUACCAAGGCGCUUGAGAGAACUCGGGUGAAGGAACUAGGCAAAAUGGUGCCGUAACUUCGGGAGAAGGCACGCUGAUAUGUAGGUGAAGUCCCUCGCGG